rnacentral:rRNA from 1 species
UGGGGAAUAUUGCACAAUGGGCGAAAGCCUGAUGCAGCAACGCCGCGUGAGUGAUGAAGGCCUUCGGGCUGUAAAGCUCUGUCUUUUGGGACGAUAAUGACGGUACCAAAGGAGGAAGCCACGGCUAACUACGUGCCAGCAGCCGCGGUAAUACGUAGGUGGCAAGCGUUGUCCGGAUUUACUGGGCGUAAAGGAUGCGUAGGCGGAUUUUUAAGUGAGAUGUGAAAUACCCGGGCUUAACUUGGGUGCUGCAUUUCAAACUGGGAAUCUAGAGUGCGGGAGAGGAGAAUGGAAUUCCUAGUGUAGCGGUGAAAUGCGUAGAGAUUAGGAAGAACACCAGUGGCGAAGGCGAUUCUCUGGACCGUAACUGACGCUGAGGCAUGAAAGCGUGGGUAGCAAACAGGAUUAGAUACCCUGGUAGUCCACGCCGUAAACGAUGAGUACUAGGUGUAGGAGGUAUCGACCCCUUCUGUGCCGCAGUUAACACAAUAAGUACUCCGCCUGGGAAGUACGAUCGCAAGAUUAAAAACUUAAAUGAAUUGACGGGGGU